GAGUUUGAUCAUGGCUCAGGAUGAACGCUGGCGGCGUGCCUAACACAUGCAAGUCGAGCGGGAAAUUUCGGAAUGAAACUUCGGUAGAAUGAAGAAAUGGAGAGCGGCGGACGGGUGAGUAACGCGUAGGCAACCUGCCCCGUACAGAGGGAUAGCCUCGGGAAACCGGGAUUAAAACCUCAUAACGCAUUCAGCCCGCAUGGGAAGGAUGCCAAAGAUUUAUCGGUAUGGGAUGGGCCUGCGUCUGAUUAGUUAGUUGGUGAGGUAACGGCUCACCAAGGCGACGAUCAGUAGCCGACCUGAGAGGGUAAUCGGCCACAUUGGAACUGAGACACGGUCCAAACUCCUACGGGAGGCAGCAGUGGGGAAUAUUGCACAAUGGGCGAAAGCCUGAUGCAGCAACGCCGCGUGAGCGAAGAAGGCCUUUGGGUCGUAAAGCUCUGUCCUAU
rnacentral:rRNA from 1 species